rnacentral:rRNA from 1 species
UGCUUAACACAUGCAAGUCGAACGGGAAGCCCUCCUUCGGGGGGGCGGAGAGUGGCGGACGGGUGAGUAACACGUUGGUGACCUGUCCUAGAGAGGGGGACAACCAUUGGAAACGAUGGCUAAGACCCCGGAUGUCGAUUAUGUUAGAGGUAAUUGACUGAAACUCUGGUGCUCUAGGGUGGGCCAGCGGGCUAUCAGCUAGUUGGUAAGGUAAAGGCUUACCAAGGCAAAGACGGUAGGGGGCGUGAGAGCGUGGCCCCCCACAAUGGGACUGAGACACGGCCCAUACUCCUACGGGAGGCAGCAGUGAGGAAUAUUGCACAAUGGGGGCAACCCUGAUGCAGCAAUGCCGCGUGAGUGAAGAAGGCUUUCGGGUUGUAAAGCUCUUUUCCAGGUGAAGAGAGAGGACGGUAGCCUAGGAAUAAGUCCCGGCUAACUACGUGCCAGCAGCCGCGGUAAAACGUAGGGGGCGAGCGUUAUCCGGAGUUACUGGGCGUAAAGCGCGUGUAGGCGGAAUGGCAAGUUGGUUGUGAAAGCUCCCGGCUUAACUGGGAGAGGUCAAUCAAAACUGCCAAACUUGAGUGAGGUAGAGGAAAGCGGAAUUCCUGGUGUAGUGGUGGAAUGCGUAGAGAUCAGGAGGAACACCGGUGGCGAAGGCGGCUUUCUGGGCCUCAACUGACGCUGAGAUGCGAAAGCGUGGGUAGCGAACGGGAUUAGAUACCCCGGUAGUCC